rnacentral:lncRNA from 1 species
CCUGCAAGACAGGAAUGUCAGUGUUCUGCCAUGGCCAGCGAAGAGCCCGGAUCUCAAUCCCAUUGAGCAUGUCUGGGACCUGUUGGAUCAGAGGGUGAGGGCUACGGCCAUUCCCCCUAGAAAUGUCUGGGAACUUGCAGGUGCCUUGGUGGAAGAGUGGGGUAACAUCUCACAGCAAGAACUGGCAAAUCUGGUGCAGUCCAUGAGGAGGAGAUGCACUGCAGUACUUAAUGCAGCUGGUGGCUUCACCAGAUACUGACUGUUACUUUUGAUUUUGACCCCCCCCCCCCCUUUGUUCAGGGACACAUUAUUUCAUUUCUGUUAGUCACAUGUCUAUGUCUCAGUUGUUGAAUCUUGUUAUGUUCAUACAAAUAUUUACACAUGUUAAGUUUGCUGAAAAUAAACGCAGUUGACAGUGAGAGGAUGUUUAUUUUUUUGCCGAGUUACACAUAUCCUAAAUAUAUAUCCUAAAUAUAUAUCCUAAAUAUAGUUUCAGCUUUAUGAACAAGGAAAUACAGAAUUUUCUCUCUGAAAGGUUUCUUCAGUCGUUGCCCGUAUAUUGGUCUCAACACUGGCUGGCCACGCAAUCUUUCUAUUUCCCACACUCUAUCUAGACAAGUCUCUCAGUCAUAUUGUUUGGCUACUUUUCACUCUCAUAUGCAUCACAAAUGCCAUUGUAACAUUUAUAUCAACCAAUACCUGUCGCAGUAGUACAAAUAUUAGACCAUGAUUGCAUUGUUUGAUUCAAAUGUUUUAUUAAGGAAGUGAACGGUGAAACUUCCUGCCACCACACCCAUUCUCCCUUACUCUUUAGUGUAUUUCGGAGGUAAGAGAUUCCAUUGCAGAGUAGUAUGCAGCCUUGCUUGAGUUACAAAGUAAAGGUGAUUUGAGAAUAGAAAUGACACAUGGCACGGCCAAAGUACCAGAUAUUGGUACUGCUUUGUUUAGUGUUGGCAACUAUAUGCGUACUGGGGUAUAAUGUCCAGCUAGAAGCCAGUGAAGCUAUGGCCUUUUGUCUGGGCUCAUUCAACCAAAAAUCUAAUGAGGAGUAUCUCUACAAAGUUCUUAACUUCAAGUACAAACUGCUUCAGAUCAUGAUUGGAAAGGAAUUCAUCUUGAAUGCACGGAUCAGACUAACCAAUUGCAAAAAGGGAGAGGUGCAGAAAGAUAGUUCCUCUGUCUGGCACUGAUAAAGCAAUGGUGAAAAUGAAGGUAGAGUGUUUAUCACUGCAAAGAUUACUCAAUUAUAAUAGCACCAGACUAACACAGUAAUAGCCUAUAGGACAACAUAAAUAACAAUAGGUAACACUUAACUUUGCACCCAGCAUCAUAACACGUUAUGACACGGUCAUAACAGCUGACAUAACUUGUCCUAAACUGUCAUAAUAUGGUCAAAACACUGUCAGGACACAUAUAUUGAAAUCUGUUGUGACAUAUAUUGCGUUGUUUCAUGACUGGUUAUGACACUUCCUUAAGAGUGUUAAAACCCACAAAAGCUGCCACGGUAGUUAUUUUAUGGCUGCUUAUGACACCUACAUAAAGGUUUCAAAACUCACUAAACCUACCACACAAGACAAAACAUUCCAUUUACAUUUGACAUUUGAGUCAUUUAGCAGACGCUCUGAUUCAGAGCGACUUCCAUUAAACCAUAGCCUACUUUUCAAUAUUAUGUUUAUGUUAUGUAACAUUUACUGAAAUUGACCAUGUUCAAUUAUUUUUGUAAUUGCGCACAAAUUGAUGUCAGACAUGCACCUACCCCAAUGCUCUGCUGCUGAUGACUGGGAUGAAUGCAGGAGAAGAUUUCAGAAGCAGGACAAGACCUCCUUUUUUUUGACUGAUGACUGACAUAACGGCAUGUAUGUGAUAGGCCUAUAUGAUUAUGAUGGUCAUAAUGCUUCAUGACAGUAUCAUAAAGUGCAUUUUCUUAGUCCAAGUAAAGUGGCACAGGAUGGUCAUAAUGCUUCAUGACAGUGUCAUAAAGUGUAUUUUCUACAAGUUAUUUAAAAUAUGAUGAGAAAAAAAAACAUGACUUUAAAGAAUUCAUGACAACAACAACGGACAUAAGAAACACAUUUUCAAAUGAAAGGAAACUUCUUGACGGGGAAAAAAGACAUUUGAUUAAAUGUGGGUUUUCACACUCUUAUGUAGGUGUCAUCUCCUAACAUAAAAUAACGCAAUAUAUGUCACAACAGGUGUAAAUAUAUGGGUUAUGACAGUGUUAUGACCAUAAUAUGACAGGUUAUGACAAGUUAUGUCAGCUGUUAUGACAUAUUAUGACAGGGUUAUGACUGUCAUAACGUGUUAUGAAGCUGGGUGUCAAGGAAAGUGUUAGUGUGAAAGAAUUAUGUUUUGUGCAGUUGAACAUUCUGUUAUUCUUUCUAAGGAAACCUAUUUAUUCUGUUUCAAAUGUUGGGGUGCCGCUUUGUAGUGUUGCUAUACAAGAGCAAAAUGGUGUUGACCCAGAAUGUUUGCAAACCAAUGUAAAAUGAGUCCCUGAAGCAUCAAAAUGUCUAGUCAUUCUCUGGUGACUGGUCUGAAUUUGAUUGUAGCCUAGCUAAACUACUAAUAUUGUGUAAAUGUCAUUAAAUGCCAUAGUUUGGGUCUUGGGACUACAAAUGAUUUAAUGUUCUAGAUUAUUGAAAACAAAUCUCUGUGAAUACAUUUGGUUACGCUUUUUUUGUGUCAAAGGGUCAUUUUGUGAGAGGGGAGCCCAGGCCUGAAAGGAACCCCUGGCACCAUUUUGCUUUGACCUUUAGUGUUCAGUGAUUGCAGAUCUGUAAAACCCAGAAAGGUGUAAGCAAUAAGGCGUUGUCUCCCCGAAUCUUGUUAUAUUACCAUAUUGCUUGCGCCUAUCCCGUUUUAAUAGAUGUGCAAACGCCAAGAGGUUAGGACAUUGGAGGUGGUGACAAAAUAGUGUUCGGACCGGUCCAAAGA